CAAAGUCCUUCCUUUAGAUAUGAGCUUAUUGGAUUUAAUAUAUAAUAAAACACAAAGUUAAAGAAUCUGCAACCCAGUGUUAAUAACAAAAAGAACCCAGCCCAGUUUACAUUAGAGGGUCAGCAUUGAUCUAUAUAUUUUAAUGUACUCUGGAUUUUAUUCUGCAAACUAACAGAUGACUAAGAGUAUUUGGAUAAUUUAAAAGCCUGACUUUUAUGCUGUUCUUAUGUUAUACUGAAAUGUGGCUGUUUGUUGUGCAUUAUCAAGGUCCACCAGGUCCAGAAGGUCCCCGGGGUCUACCUGGAAGUGGGGCUAUUAAAGGAGAAAGAGGUAACCCAGGCCAACCUGGGCAACCUGGUUUGCCUGGUUUAAAAGGUGAUCAAGGUCCUCCAGGACUCCAGGUAGGAAAUAGGAGUAGAUAUUUGAUGAGAAAUGGAUGUAGGUGUUUGCAUUCAAAACGAAAAUUCCAAACUGCAUUGUUUUAAUUCGCAUUUACUAGUCAAGGCUCUUUGCAUGGCUUACUGGUGAAGUACAGAGAAAAAGGCAAGUUUCCUGUCUUCUACCAACGAAAGGGACUUUGCUACCUUAUAGUUAAAGGGUUCCCCAACAGAUAGUUUUAACUGGAGUUCUUGGUGUGUAUAGAUUUUAAUUUCAGAAACUUUG
rnacentral:lncRNA from 1 species